AGAGUUUGAUCCUGGCUCAGAGCGAACGCUGGCGGCAGGCCUAACACAUGCAAGUCGAACGGACCCUUCGGGGUUAGUGGCGGACGGGUGAGUAACACGUGGGAACGUGCCUUUAGGCUCGGAAUAGCCCCUGGAAACGGGUGGUAAUGCCGAAUGUGCCCUUCGGGGGAAAGAUUUAUCGCCUUUAGAGCGGCCCGCGUCUGAUUAGCUAGUUGGUGAGGUAAUGGCUCACCAAGGCGACGAUCAGUAGCUGGUCUGAGAGGAUGACCAGCCACAUUGGGACUGAGACACGGCCCAAACUCCUACGGGAGGCAGCAGUGGGGAAUCUUGCGCAAUGGGCGAAAGCCUGACGCAGCCAUGCCGCGUGAAUGAUGAAGGUCUUAGGAUUGUAAAAUUCUUUCACCGGGGACGAUAAUGACGGUACCCGGAGAAGAAGCCCCGGCUAACUUCGUGCCAGCAGCCGCGGUAAUACGAAGGGGGCUAGCGUUGCUCGGAAUUACUGGGCGUAAAGGGCGCGUAGGCGGACAUUUAAGUCAGGGGUGAAAUCCCAGAGCUCAACUCUGGGAACUGCCUUUGAUACUGGGUGUCUUGAGUGUGAGAGAGGUAUGUGGAACUCCGAGUGUAGAGGUGAAAUUCGUAGAUAUUCGGAAGAACACCAGUGGCGAAGGCGACAUACUGGCUCAUUACUGACGCUGAGGCGCGAAAGCGUGGGGAGCAAACAGGAUUAGAUACCCUGGUAGUCCACGCCGUAAACGAUGAUUGCUAGUUGUCGGGCUGCAUGCAGUUCGGUGACGCAGCUA
rnacentral:rRNA from 1 species